rnacentral:lncRNA from 1 species
CACGAGAUCAGGAGCUGGAAGGAAACUCCGAGAUUAUUUAGUCCAACUCCCUCAUUUCAGACUUGUGGAAAGUGAGGCCUUGAGAGGGAACAGUGUCUCGUCCAAGGUCACUCAGGGAGUAAGGAGCGAGGCUGAAAGCAGAAGACGCCCUACGGAGGGGAAAAGAGUCCUGGCUCAGGAGUUAAAGGAUAUGAAUUCGAAUCCUGACUUCGGUUUCAUCAGAGAUGUCACAGAGUCAGAGCAGUGCUGGAAGACACCUUAUGAGGAGGAAUCUGAGGAUCAGAGAGCUGAAGCAGGAUGUAAGGUGAGAGAAGAGAGACAGACAGGGCUCAAGGGACUUGCCCAGGUAAUAAGAGUCCAAUUCAGACUCCCGUCUUCCUCCUUUGAGGUCCGGAGCUCUAACCACGGAAUCCGGCGGCUCGCCUCGAGGCAAACAUCAGGUCCGUCUAAGGAUUUUUGAACAAAUAGCACUCAAGUGGGAUGAGCUUUACUAGAAGGUCAUCUUAUUUUAAAUUUAAUGAUCAAAUAUUAAUUAUUGAAAUAAUUAAAUUAAUUUAAAAGUGUGAGUAAAAAACGAAUUAUUCAUAAUUCAUGGAUUCGCCGUCCACAGAAGUCUGGAAGCAGAGUCCCGGGGAGCUCUUCUCAGGGACCUUGGAGAGGGAUCUCCUGGUCAGGUAGAGGUUGGCGUCCACCUCAGGCCCGCCCCAAAUGGGUUUCCUUCCACACCUCGCCUUCUCUGUCCCACCUGGUGAUAGGUACCUCCCUGCCAGGACCGGGGAAAGAUGGUGACUGACGCGCACGUUUGCCUUCCGGUCCCUUCGCACUCAGCUGCAUCCUUGUAUAUAGACACCCUAUAUAACCCC